CCAAUAGCGUAUAUUAAAGUUGUUGCAGUUAAAAAGCUCGUAGUUGAAUUUCGGAAUUUGUCGGUUGGUCGGGCUUCACUGUCCGCACUGGCCUGAUGGAUUCCUACCUUCUGAAUAACCAGCAUGCUAUUAAGUUAGUGCGUUGGGGAAGCAGAGCUAUUACCUUGAAAAAAUUAGAGUGCUUAAAGCAGGCUUGCGCUUGAAUAGAUUAGCAUGGAAUAAUAAAAUAGGACGGCAUGGUUCUAUUUUGUUGGUUUCUAGGAUCACCGUAAUGAUUAAUAGGGAUAGUUGGGGGCAUUAGUAUUCAAUUGUCAGAGGUGAAAUUCUUGGAUUUAUUGAAGACUAACUUCUGCGAAAGCAUUUGCCAAGGAUGUUUUCAUUAAUCAAGAACGAAAGUUAGGGGAUCGAAGACGAUCAGAUACCGUCGUAGUCUUAACCAUAAACUAUGCCGACUAGGGAUCGGACGAUGUUAAUUUUUUAAUGACUCGUUCGGCGCCUUACG
rnacentral:rRNA from 1 species